rnacentral:rRNA from 1 species
CUACGGGGUGCUGCAGUGAGGAAUUUUGCGCAAUGGGGGAAACCCUGACGCAGCAACGCCGCGUGAGUGAUGAAGAUUUUCGGAUCGUAAAGCUCUGUCAAGCGGGAAAAAAUACUUUCGGUUAAUAGCCGGAAGGACUGAUGGUACCGCUGGAGGAAGCACCGGCUAACUCCGUGCCAGCAGCCGCGGUAAUACGGAGGGUGCAAGCGUUGUUCGGAUUUACUGGGCGUAAAGAGCGUGUAGGCGGUUUAGCAGGUCAGAUGUGAAAGCCCUGGGCUCAACCCAGGAAGUGCAUUUGAAACUGCUAUACUAGAGUAUGGGAGAGGAGAUUGGAAUUCCCAGUGUAGAGGUGAAAUUCGUAGAUAUUGGGAGGAACACCGGUGGCGAAGGCGACUCUCUGGACCAAUACUGACGCUGAGACGCGAAAGCGUGGGGAGCAAACAGGAUUAGAUACCCCGGUAGUC